UGAAUCUUUUAAGAAGUAUUG
rnacentral:piRNA from 1 species